AGAGGGUGCGAACGUUGCUCGGGAUUUACUGGGGCGUAAAGCGCGUGUAGGCGGACUCGCAAGUCGGUUGUGAAAUCCCUGGGGGCUCAACCUAGGAACUGCAUCCGAAACUGUUUGUCUUGAGUAAUGGAGAGGGUGGCGGAAUUCCCGGUGUAGAGGUGAAAUUCGUAGAUAUCGGGAGGAACAUCAGUGGCGAAGGCGGCCACCUGGACAUUUACUGACGCUGAGACGCGAAAACGUGGGGAGCAAACAGGAUUAGAUACCCUGGUAGUCCACGCCGUAAACGAUGAGCACUAGGUGCAGCGGAUAUUGACCUCUGCUGUGCCGUAGCUAACGCGUUAAGUGCUCCGCCUGGGGAGUACGGCCGCAAGGCUA
rnacentral:rRNA from 1 species